rnacentral:misc_RNA from 1 species
CGCACAUUGCGCCUAUUAGUAUUCUAGUAGGCAUGCCUGUUCGAGCGUCAUUUCAACCCUCAAGCCCUGGUUGCUUGGUGUUGGGAGCCUGCCGUAAGACGCAGCUCCCCAAAGCUAGCUGGCAGAGCUAGGGUGUGCUCUAAGCGUAGUAGAAUCUCCUCUCGCUUCGGACGCCGCCCCGGCCCUCUCGCCAUUAAAGCCCCAAACUUUUUUCUAUGGUUGACCUCGGAUCAGGUAGGAAUACCCGCUGAACUUAA